UACAGAGGGUGCGAGCGUUAAUCGGAAUUACUGGGCGUAAAGCGUGCGUAGACGGUUACAUAAGUCGGGUGUGAAAGCCCCGGGCUCAACCUGGGAAUUGCAUUCGAGACUGCGUAGCUAGGGUGCGGAAGAGGGAAGCGGAAUUUCCGGUGUAGCGGUGAAAUGCGUAGAUAUCGGAAGAACACCAGUGGCGAAAGCGGCUUCCUGGUCCAGCACCGACGUCAGGCACGAAAGCGUGGGGAGCAAACAGG
rnacentral:rRNA from 1 species